GACGUAGGGCGCGAGCGUUGUCCGGAUUUAUUGGGCGUAAAGAGCUCGUAGGCGGCUUGUCGCGUCGAAUGUGAAAUCUCGGGGCUCAACUCCGAGCUUGCAUUCGAUACGGGCAGGCUAGAGUUCGGUAGGGGAGACUGGAAUUCCUGGUGUAGCGGUGAAAUGCGCAGAUAUCAGGAGGAACACCGGUGGUGAAGGCGGGUCUCUGGGCCGAUACUGACGCUGAGGAGCGAAAGCGUGGGGAGCGAACAGG
rnacentral:rRNA from 1 species